UCAUCUCAUGAAAGCAGCAUAAAAAUUCUAGUAACUAACAAGUUCAUCUCAAUCCUUGAACCUCAAAACUAGCAAAUCUCAUUUCACAAAUUGAUUACUACAAUUGAUCUAUUUUUAUUAUUUACCUUUUUAAAUAAGUUUUUGCAUCAGUCAUGGAAAUUACCUCAUGAGCUACUGCCCAGAAUAGUACAACACACCAACUCAAAGAUUAUGACUUGAAGAAGAAACAUUGCACACCAGAAGAAUUGCACCAUCCCAUUUUAAAGAGCAUAAUUAUCAAAUUUUCACAACCCUGGGUACCAAAAGCAUUUUCUUGUCAACCUCAUUUUACCGAUCAAAACCUAACACAACUUUUGACUCCGAGUAUUAUAAGAAUGAAGUUUUCAGUCAAUCCAGUUCAUGACUCUAACAAGAUUCUGAAAUGUAAUAACAUGUAGAGCUCUAAUACCAUAAACACAAUGUAAUUACCACUAAUUAACCUAUCAGAAUCUCCUAAGGCAGAUAUUCAUGCCCAUAAAAGAAAGAAAAAAAGGACAUCAAGGAAGCAAAAAAUCAUUGGGAAACAAUCUCAAGAAAAACACAUUUCACAUAAGCAAUACCAUGAGGUCACAUAAGAUACACACACGCCACUCAUCAUAAUCACUGCAUUCCAUUCAAUUUUCAGUAUUUGUAAUAAGAGUUUUCUCCACAACUGUAAUUCAGAAGCCCAAGUGUUUCAUCCAGUUGAAAGCAGUAUAACAAUUCUACCAACCAUUUCACAUGAUAACAAAGCUAAAUUCCAAAUAUUGAACCACAAAACAAGUAAAACUCAUUUCAUAAAGUAACUACGACAAUAAAUACACAUUUCAAGAAAAACACUGGUUCUAGAGAUUUAAUUUUAUAAACAGAAUAGAAUAUUUCACCAACUCACAGCUUACGAGAUGCAGAAGAAGGUUGAAAGAAUGCAUAUAUAUGCCUUUGUAAAACUGACAAUUACUCAUGCUCUUUUAGCAAGCUUACCAAUUCAAGAAGUCAUAUGCAAAUUUCUGCAGAUAAACAAUCUAAAUUCAAUCCAUCCCAUCAGCUUGACAGUUUAAAGCCAACCUCAAAACAAGUUCUCCAUUGGCCUCAUAAGAAGUUUCUUUCAUCAUGUCAAUGGCUCAUGAACAGGAAAUGAAGGUAGCAAGUCCAGACAUUCACGAUAUUUUCAAUCCGUUGCAAGUGAUUCCACAACUAUGGAAUAUAGAUGUGCAUCCGGCAUCACAUUUCCCUCUUUCAUUUUUAAAGAAGCUCAACCGCUUUUUGCAUCCUGUUAUUUUACAAGAAACCGCGCAUACCUGUAUCAGAUGUGACUGCAUUUGGAGCACGAUCAUUUCUAUCCAUAAACAGUAACAUAUCAUUUGCCAUUUCUAGUUGUCCUUCUCUACCGAGCCCAUGAUCAUGAUGGUAUGUGUUACAACAUUUGGAACCAACCUAUGAUGAGGCUGCUGUAAGUGACUAUAUCAGGAUGCACAUUUCUUUGUAUCAUCAAUUCUAACAUUUCACUUGCUUAUUCUACAUUUCCGUUCUUGCAUAAUACAUCGAUCAUCACACCAAAUGUUACCACAUGGGCUGUACACCUUGAUCAGUCAUCUCAACAAACAAAUGUUUAGCCACAUCCCAAUUACCAACACAACAAAACCAUGAAUUAAACAGCUGUAACGAUCACAUUUUGAUAAAUCAUGUUACUCUUCAUUGGCCUUAUCUACUAAACUGUCUUUACGAAGACCAUCAAUGAUACUACCAUAAGUAACAACAUCAGGCUUACAAAUAACACCUGAUUUAUCAUUCCUGUUGAUCAUCUCUUCAUGCAAGUUAAGUGCAAUAAUUGUAUUGCCUGUCUGACACAAUCCUUUAAUCAAAGCGCCAUAUGUAAUGAUAUCAGGACUACGGCCAAAAGCAACCAUUUUCUUAAACAGUUUAGUGGCUUCUAAAAUCCUUCUCUCUGUACAAAAUCCCUUAAUCAAAGUAGUAAAAAUCAUAGCAUCUGGGGCAAAAACCCUCCUAAGGAUGCUCCCAAAAACCAAAAGACCGUCGGAAAUACUACCCAUAUUGCAAAAAGCAACUAUUCAAAAUGUUUAGUAGAGUCAAAUCAGGCAUCAACCCAGCUGAGUUAAACCUCCAGGAAAGCAAAAAAACAGUAUAAUACUGAUUUUUCUUAAACAAGUGCAGUAAAUAGAAUAGUGAAAGAUGACAAAGGAGGUGGGAGUUUCAGACAAAUCAUGUAAUCAAAGAAAUCAAGUGAUCCGUUCAAAGUGAAGUUACCUGAUUUGCAAUUCUCAUUGAGGAAUUUAGAAAGUGUAGCUUGGUUUUGCCGUUUUUCGAACAAAGAAGAGAGAUUAUUUCUGGAAUCAGAAGAUGAGAGGCUCCGAAAGUGAGUGAGAGAAGUUGUUAGCUUACAGUUUAAAGUUGUUUUUGAAGAAGAAGACGAACAGAAUGAAAUUCUGUGAAGCAUUGCAGUCCGUUGAUUUUGUGAGAUCAAAUCAAAUGCCCCU
rnacentral:lncRNA from 1 species